rnacentral:misc_RNA from 1 species
UUAUUAUUAUUAUUAUUGCUAUUAGAAUACUAAAUUUAUACAACUUGGAAAAUAUUCAAUUUCCUACUAAAUGACACUUGUUAAUGUCAUAUACAUGGAAAAAUUUGUCUGUCAUUUAUUUUGUGUCGCAAACUUUGAUGUGUGUAGUAGAUAAGUACGACAUGCAUUAUGAAUAUGUGCGGUUAAACAAAUGAAUUUGUCGCACCUGAGAUUUUUGAGUAAUAGCUAAAGCGAAAUCUUCGUCGGGUGCAGUAUCCUCAGGGAUCAUAUUGGCAUCCCCAGGUAUAGUACCGUAUCGAAUGGUAUCGUUAAUCGCUUUGGGUGGACCUCCUAUGAAACCUGAACAAUUACCGCCUCUAGUAAUUUCACUACCAUACCUUUUUUCAAGGAUGUUCCUCGCGUCAGGUGCCUCGUCAUAAAGCUGGAAAGUAGCUGCAUACUUGUUUUUCGAACGACUUCUUGAUUUUCACCGUGAUACUCUCACCGUGGCGUCCUAUUCCGUCCGUCACUUUUAUUCUAAUAAAAUCAUCGAUUAAAGCCCUCGAACAGAAACAGCUAGGAAUGUUUUGACAAA